rnacentral:rRNA from 1 species
AACGAACGCUGGCGGCAUGCCUAACACAUGCAAGUCGAACGAGAUCUUCGGGUCUAGUGGCGCACGGGUGCGUAACGCAUGGGAAUCUGCCCUUUGGUUCGGAAUAACAGUUGGAAACGACUGCUAAUACCGGAUGAUGACGAAAGUCCAAAGAUUUAUCGCCAGAGGAUGAGCCCGCGUAGGAUUAGCUAGUUGGUGUGGUAAAGGCGCACCAAGGCGACUAUCCUUAGCUGGUCUGAGAGGAUGAUCAGCCACACUGGGACUGAGACACGGCCAAGACUCCUACGGGAGGCAGCAGUGGGGAAUAUUGGACAAUGGGCGAAAGCCUGAUCCAGCAAUGCCGCGUGAGUGAUGAAGGCCUUAGGGUUGUAAAGCUCUUUUACCCGGGAUGAUAAUGACAGUACCGGGAGGAUAAGCUCCGGCUAACUCCGUGCCAGCCGCCGCCGUAA